AGAGAAGCGGAAGGGAGAGAAUGGAAAUGGCCGCAUGCAGCUCCUCUCCCCCAGACAGCUCGGGGCUCAGCGGAAUGAGCACAGUCUGCAGGGCAAGUGUGGAGGACUUCAGUCCCCUCUACUGUAUAUUGGCGUUAGGACUCAAGUUGUCCCUGAAAUAGAGGAAGGUGUUUUCUAGAGUAGUAGUAAUUAUCACAGUCAAAAAAGUAGGCAAGAGCACUUAGGAAAACUGUGCGGAGAUCAGCUGCUGAUAUGUAAAUACUGCUGAAGCUGCUUAUUCAAGGAGAAAGAGAUGAAGAAGACAUUCGUAUCAGGGGGAAAAUGAAAUACAACCAUAACAGGGACACAUACGAACCCUUGAUGUUCCUGUGCCGUGAGAUGAGGAGUACAAUUAAAUCAAAUCUCUGCAUUUAUAUACAGACAAGAAAAGAAGACAAAAAUAAAGAAACAAGUUCUUGAAAGGAACACAGCAUUUCUAUCCAAUGAAGAAUGAAGAUAUCCUGGAAUACAUUUAUGGCCCCUCAGCAAUGCUGGUCUGAGAAGCACUGCCAUCCUGUUCACAAACUUUGGAAUACGUUCAUUUGAGCUUCCCUAGUUCUGCCACAUACUCUCCAGACAACCUGUGACAAGUUUCUGAGCCUCAGUUUCCAUAUCCGUAAAAGGGAAAUAAGAAUACUCACCCCCCAGGAUUUCUGUGAGAGUUAAAUGAGAUAAUGUAUUGAAAGUAUCUUGAUACAAGACCUGACAAAUUCAUGCAUAUUAGAAAACCUGAGACCCAGAUGGGGGAAACUGCUUUCCACGGUUAAUCAUGAACAACUGGCCAGGAUGGGACAGAACCCCAUACACAGCCUUCAUUCCAGGGCUCAGAACAAAAAGAAGGCAGUGGCCUGGGCUGCACCUGAGCUUGGCUUCACAUAGGAGUGAUUCUGGAAUGCAGGCUCCUGAUGACGACCUCAAGGUUAGAAUGAAUGCUGAAGAUGCCUUUUUUGUGUGUGCUUUUCUUUUCUAAAUAAAAUACAAAUUGCUUUUAUUUCAUGAAGAGCAACUACAUUCCCAGGUUGCUUUAGUCUUCUAGGGAUCCUUGGCCAGACCUACCCUGUGUUAGGUUCCUUAUCUGUAAAAUGCAGAGUAUCUCACAAACUCACAAGUGUGGUAUGAGGACUGAAACGAUCACCUGGAGUGGCGAUCCUAACCUCCAACUUUCCGUAAGAAAGAAUUCCAUUCUGUGCAUAAAAAUUCAUGCUUGUAACGUGUGUUUAUCCGAAAUGAGACCAACAGAAGAUUAUUUUCCUCCAAUAGUGCAAGCUAAUAAAUAAGGCACAUUUUAAAGCUGUUUCUAAUUAAUAAAAGCAUUAUAUCCAUU